AUAUAAUUAAGCGGAGGAACAGAAAAUAACAUUAAUUUCCUGAAUAGUGGCGAACGAAAAGGAAUAAGCGCGAAGUGUAAAUCGAAUUCCCAAUUCGAGUUGUACAUGACUACCAAUUGUACCCGAAACUAGAUGGAGGUGUUUGGAAAAACCCCCCUUUGGCGGUGAAAGGCCGCAACAUCUGUCGGAAGGUCUUAACAUUGGUGGUACGCUGAGUCACAUUCUUUGGGCGUAGAAUGUAAAUAGGGUGGUAACUAUCAUCUAACGCUAAAUACUGCAAGGAGACCGAUAGCGCACAAGUA
rnacentral:rRNA from 1 species